UUGUUUGGUCUUUUUGCAAGAAAUAAAAAAUGUGAAUGCCGUCCAGAUUCAAAGAAAUUCGUCGAGCAGCUUUAAUUUCAUGAUUAAUUUGGUCCUCGCUAAAUGAAUCAAAGAUCACAAGACUAGAACCAAUGGUUUCCAGAAAAAAGGUUGGUUCUAGAAUAUUUUCAUUUAUGCUUUUUCAGUUCUUUGAAUGGACUUCCUAUAAUCCAAAAUGAGCUAUUGAACAACUCUUGCUGCAUUGUGUUUGCAAAUCAAUAUUUAGGCUAAUAAUUGAAGGCUGAUUCUUUUUUGUUGAAAGAUGUAAUUUGGUUUUGUACGUAAAGAUUGCAAAUUUGAUUCAGGUAUGAAUACUUACACUUGUUCGUCUUUGUGUUUUCUCCUUCUUUUAAGAAAUUACAUUUCCUUUCACAUCUUCAACCAAAACCAUUCAGCAAACAAACAUAUUCAUGGAGGAGGUUGUUGGUUCAAGUACCAAUUUCAAGCAUCGAUACUCCGACUUUGUAUCAACAUUUUUGGGAUUGCAUAGGUUAUUUUUAGGAGUUGACAUAAAUGAAAAAAAAUUGUUUAGUUUUCAUAAGUGCUUAUCUAUCAUUGUUACUGGGCAAUAAUUUCUUUUACUGCCUUACAUAUUUUGCCUUAUUAGGCUGACCUUCAUUUGGUCUUGCAGUUUUAGUUAUCAAUUCAAUUCCUCCAUUGCUAAUAUGGAUUCCCCAUCAUGGUGUUUAAUUUUGUUUUAUUAUUGGCUUUAGGAAAUCAUGGUUCUUUGGAAUUUGGACCUUUUGUUUGCAGCCUUUAGAUCCUUAUCUAUUUAAGAUAAAUGUUUUCUUCGCAAUAAUUGGCAAAAAAGAAAGAUAAGUUUCAUCAUUUUGCUUUCUCUUUUAUGUCAACUUACUUCACUUCAACCAAAAUUUUACAUAUUUUGUUAACUUUUUUCUUACAAAAUUUAUCCUUUACUUUAAUAUCCCUUGCAUAUCGACUGCAAACACAAUAAUAAUUCAACAGUAUGACAAGCAAGAAAAAGAAUCUUCACCAUAUUAUAAAUUUCGUCAACUCAGGUGGCGCUGUAGGAGCCUCAAGCAAGUUCAGCAGUGGAUGCUUUCACUAACUUGAAGAAUCUUCUGAUACCAUCACUGACGACUACCCAUACCUCUCCGAGGGCAUGAGACAGGUAAUUUUUCCAUUCAGUUUUUAUCUAGGUAAUUUUCGUGGCUGCCAUUCUAUGAUGAUGCAGGUAAAAAGUUGAUUUCCUAUUUUUACGGGCUAUAGCUAUUGUUAAUGUUUUGGCGAAGAAGGCUAACAUUCCAAGAAAAAGUAUGUAGAGCUUUUUUUUUUUUACUGUAAAUGCCCCUUUAGAAUUUAUUCAAUACAUGUCGCAUAGCAAUAUACAACUUUGUGUUGUUUUGUAGUGAUCGAUGAACAAAAACCCAGCUUUUGACCAUCUACUGACAUCUGUCUAAAGAACACUUUGCUCUUCAUUUUCUAGGGUUUUUGUCUACAGCUUUCGAAACCCUUUAUGCUCAAGGAACCGCAAUGUAGAUAUAAAAUCAGUGUUAUUCCAGACAAAACCUUUAUUCACAACAUUGGGUAUGAUUGUUUUGUACCUAAUUUGAAACAAUUUACUACAACAAUUUUUUUUAUAUAUAUUUUAAACAUAAUCUUUCAUGCAUUUUCUAAUCUCGUAGCUUUCUAGUGUGAUACUGAUUCCUAGCUAAUGGGUGGUUUGGGAGUGAGGUGCUUAAAAAAAAAAACACCCAUGAAAAAAAGCUGUCAGGGUUUUAGGUGUUUGGUAAAAUGAAAAAAAAAAAGCUUAUUUUGGAAGCUGCUGUGAGAAUAAGCUGAAAUCAAAGGAAAAAGCUGAAGCUGCUAUUUGCAGUUUUGAAAAAUUGGAUUUUUUUCAAAGCACACGGAACUACAGCGCUCCUUUAAUGAAAGGACCCACUAUUAGACUUUUUUUUUUCCAAAAGCACUUUUACAAAAAAGUUUACCAAACACUGCUGAUUUAUUUCACAGCCACUUAUUCUCACAGCAGCUUUUUUUCAAAGCACAGCAAUACCAAACCAGCCCUAAGUCUCUGACUGCUCUGCUCAAGGAUGUUUCCCGUCUUUUGUUAAUCUAUAUUAAAUGAUGUUUAACAUGUUUAAAAACCUAUAAAUAUCUUUUUUUUGCUCAGGAGUCGGGACUCAACAAUAUGUUUUGCAUCUCCUCAUUUUUUGUAUGCAAAUGCUAUAACAGGUUGCCCAUUACAUGGGGCUAUUAGGACAAAAUGAAUUAUUAUAAUGUUUUUUGUAUCUUUGUACCAGGAUUUCUUAAUUUUUGUAACUGAAUGCGACCCUCCUGGUCCAAAGAUACACACAACUGCUACAAUGGAAUGAAUAACUGUAAUAUCUUUCUUUA